rnacentral:rRNA from 1 species
GAUUAAGCCAUGCAUGUCUAAGUUCACACCCUCGUACGGUGAAACCGCGAAUGGCUCAUUAAAUCAGUCGAGGUUCCUUAGAUGAUCCCAAUCUACUUGGAUAACUGUGGUAAUUCUAGAGCUAAUACAUGCCAACCAGCUCCGACCCGUUACUGGGAAAGAGCGCUUUUAUCAGUUCAAAACCAGUCGGGCCCGUUAAACGGUCCGUCCCUUGGUGACUCUGGAUAACUUUGUGCCGAUCGCAUGGCCUCGAGCCGGCGACGCAUCUUUCAAAUGUCUGCCCUAUCAAAUGACGAUGGUACGUGAUCUGCCUACCAUGUUGGCAACGGGUAGCGGGGAAUCAGGGUUCGAUUCCGGAGAGGGAGCAUGAGAAACGGCUACCACAUCCAAGGAAGGCAGCAGGCGCGCAACUUACCCACUCCUGGCACGGGGAGGUAGUGACGAAAAAUAACAAUACGGAACUCUUUUGAGGCUCCGUAAUUGGAAUGAGUACACUUUAAACCCUUUAACGAGGAUCUAUUGGAGGGCAAGUCUGGUGCCAGCAGCCGCGGUAAUUCCAGCUCCAAUAGCGUAUACUAAAGUUGUUGCGAUUAAAAAGCUCGUAGUUGGAUCUCAGGCAUGGGCGCACGGUCCGCCUCGCGGCGGUCACUGUGUGUAUGUUUCCCAUCCUACGCUUCCCGGUUGUUAGCCCAUGGUGCUCUUCAUUGAGCGUUUUGGGUGGCCGGAACGUUUACUUUGAAGAAAUUAGAGUGUUCAAAGCAGGCACGUCGCCUGAAUAAUGGUGCAUGGAAUAAUGGAAUAGGACCUCGGUUCUAUUUUGCUGGUUUUCGGAACACGAGGUAAUGAUUAAGAGGGACAGACGGGGGCAUCCGUAUUGCGGUGUUAGAGGUGAAAUUCUUGGAUCAUCGCAAGACGAACUACUGCGAAAGCAUUUGCCAAGAAUGUUUUCAUUAGUCAA